rnacentral:rRNA from 1 species
AUUGAACGCUGGCGGCAUGCCUUACACAUGCAAGUCGAACGGCAGCACGGGUGCUUGCACCUGGUGGCGAGUGGCGAACGGGUGAGUAAUAUAUCGGAACGUACCUUAUUGUGGGGGAUAACGCAGCGAAAGCUGUGCUAAUACCGCAUAAUCCCUUAGGGGGAAAGCGGGGGACCGUAAGGCCUCGCGCAAUUAGAGCGGCCGACACCUGAUUAGCUAGUUGGGGAGGUAAAGGCUCACCAAGGCGACGAUCAGUAGCUGGUCUGAGAGGACGAUGAGCCACACUGGGACUGAGGCACGGCCCAGACUCCUGCGGGAGGCAGCAGUGGAGAAUUUUGGACAAUGGGGGGAGCCCUGAUCCAGCAAUGCCGCGUGAGUGAAGAAGGCCUUCGGAUUGUAGAGCUCUUUUGUCAGGGAAGAAACACCGGCUCUAACACAGUCCGGGAAUGACGGUACCUGAAGAAUAAGCACCGGCUAACUACGUGCCAGCAGCCGCAGUAA